CCCCUUCCCAAGACCUGCUUUUUGUUUUCUCGAAAGGUGUAUUUGUUGUUGUGCGAGCAGGAGCAGCGUGCAAGCAGGGGAGGGGCAGAGAGAGAGUGGGCAGAGGAUCAGAAGCCGCGCCGACAGUGAGCCUGAUGAGCCUUGAUGCGGGGCUGGAACCCAUCCACCGCGAGAUCAUGACCUGGGCCAAUCACAGUCGGUCGCUCAACCCACCGAGCCACCCAGACAGCUGGCUGGCUGCCUCGGAGAUCGGCAAACUGGAACAGGAGCCGCAGAAGCACUGUGUCCACUGCACCGCCAGGCCAGGAGAAACAAUAUUAUCUCCUUGUGAGAACAGUUUGGUCCCGUCAUGCUUUGAUUUAACCUUACAAGGAAAAAUGGCCAGUUACGGAGUCAUUUUCCCGAAUGUUGUUGGAGCUGCCUGGCGGUCCUUCGCGCUGGAUGAAUUACUGAGUAUACCUGAAUUCAAAUCUUAUGAGAAGGAGCUAUCUCGGUGGAAGCCAGAAAUAUGAACUGAAAAGGAUACCGGUUGAAACUUUAAGUGUCAAAAACUGUUGAGGGCUUACUGAAAUCUCUGCUGGUCAUACUGGGUGAUGAGUAAAGAAUCAUUGAUAGCUGGGGAAAUACAGAGAGUGAAGUUGACAACAUAGCCAAAGAGAAGAUCCUGAGGUUCGGGACACCCUUAAACAGAAAUUGGAGGAGAAAAGAUAAAAAUGGUGGAGAAUGAGAUAAUUUGUACUCUCAAGGGAAUGCGCAAAGGUCAAAGGUCAAGUGUGGCUUCAUAUUUAUGGAUUCAUUGUGCCCUUUCAUUGGGCUCUGUUGACAUGAGCAGUAAUUUCAUUCAGCUUGAUUUGGUGAAAGGCCCGUUUUUAGUAACACAAAACUCUUUAUAUGACGUCCAAGGACAUCAACGUCAAACUGGUUAAUUAAUGUCAUCAAUUCAAAAACUAUUGAAGAGGAGUCAUACAGCAUAAAACUUGAAAUGUUCUGAAAUCCCACAGCUCAUAUAUGAAAGAAACUUUGUAGAGACUUACCCAAAUUUGAUGAUAAUCCUGAUAAUUUAUAGGACAUGCUCAAUAACAAGGUGUGAAGCGGAGACUUUCUCUAACUUAUCCAUAAUAAAAACAAAUUUGAAGAGUCCAUGCUGGAGGAAGACAGACUUAACUAUCUGUUCCCUCUGCAGAAGAUAUUACAAAAUUAUUACCCUACGGAGAGGUCAUAAAAGAUGAUGUAGCCAAAAGUAUAGGUAAAAAGCUGAUUAAGGAAAACAAAAAUUGAGGAUAUUACGGUCUUUGCCAGCUUUUAAAAAUGUGUCGCUUGUGGUGAUUUAUUUUCUCAUGCUAAAUAAAUAUCCACUCUCGAGACUAAUUUUGUGUUCAAAAUUUUGUGUUCUUUUUUCCUAACUGGGCCUUCACAAGGGCAAACCAUGGGAGCUUUAGGCCACACCAAACGUGAGUUAAUCUGUGGCCCUCAGAUGGAAAAGCA